rnacentral:rRNA from 1 species
UACGGAGGAUGCGAGCGUUAUCCGGAUUUAUUGGGUUUAAAGGGUGCGUAGGCGGGCUGUUAAGUCAGCGGUAAAAGCCCGGGGCUCAACCCCGGCGAGCCGUUGAAACUGGCUGUCUUGAGAUGUCGAGAGGUAUGCGGAAUGCGCAGUGUAGCGGUGAAAUGCUUGGAUAUUGCGCAGAACUCCGAUUGCGAAGGCAGCAUACCGGCGGCGAUCUGACGCUGAGGCACGAAAGCGUGGGUAUCGAACAGG